UCUUAAAGAUGGUGAACUAUACCUGAGUAGGAUGAAGCCAGAAGAGACUCCGGUGGAGGUCCAAAGCGAUUCUGACGUGCAAAUUGAUCGUCUGACUUCGGUAUAAGGGCAAAAGAUUAAUCGAACUAUCUAGUUAGCUGA
rnacentral:ncRNA from 1 species